rnacentral:tRNA from 1 species
UCAUCGAUGGUUCAGUGGUGGAAUGCAUGUCAUUUAUGUACAUGGUGUUUCAGGUUCAACUCCUGGUUGAUGUA